rnacentral:lncRNA from 1 species
CCCUCCCCUUGUAAACGUGGUCUAAUCAUGCAAACAGUUGAUUGAACAUAAUUGAUUGAUCCUCCUGUAAGAGUUGCCUGCUGUUUUAUCACAUUGCAUCAGACGUGAAGGCAGAUGUCUCAAACUGACUGAAGCUAAAAGAGUUAGACUAGAAAGCAAAUGCUGGAUGACGUCUUUUUUCAAAUGCAGGUGUGGUGACAGCGUCUGGGGAUAAAGAGGAGAGCCGGAUUAGCUCGAUGCACUGGAGCAGGCAGACACACGGCUUCCAGUAGAGACAGGAGGGCACUGGAUCUAUGGAAGGACAGGGAGUGAGGAAGGCCUCUGAUAGAAUAGAAGAAAAACACCCUGAUGAAAUGCUUAAAAGUCCAUUCCUGUGCUAAAAUAUAUAUAUAGAACAGUCUGGCAACACAUGGAACCCUCUCACCUGUACCCCCUGCAUUGGAAGGCGAAGUCUUAACCCCUGGGCGACCAAGGGAGCCUCAAGAUCAUUUCAACUUUUUAAAACUUUCUGUAAUAUUUUCCCAUUUUAAGCUUAUUGAGAAAGUUCUAAGUCAACAUGGGAGGGAAUUUAGGAUGAAAGAGAAUUAGUUUGAAAACAGAAAGGAAGUAAAACACUAGAGGUUUAUUUUUUGUUAGCUCUUAUAUAAAAUGAGAGCAGGUGGCACAUACCCAAUAUACUCCACGCUGUAUUAAUAGAAGUAGUAUAUGUAGUUUGCAUUGGUCAGCGUCCAUGUGGAUUAUUGUACAAAUUCAAUAUGCCAAAGCCUUUGACUGUGUGGAUCACAAUAAACUGUGGAAAAUU